GGGCAAUUGGCACAGUUGGUAGCGCGCACGCUUCGCAUUUGAAUCUGCGUGAGGUCCAGGGUUCGAAUCCCUGAUUGUCCA
rfam:Laetiporus sulphureus 93-53 unplaced genomic scaffold LAESTscaffold_47, whole genome shotgun sequence.